rnacentral:misc_RNA from 1 species
UAUACACACACAGACACACAGUGGGUUUAACUUAGUAAAACUGAUUAUAGUAUCAAAACCGAGGAAAGAAAUAUUCAUAUCACAAAGCCCUCUAAGAUCAUAAAGCUUUAACUUCUUCUUCUUUGAACAUGCACAAAGCCAGAGUAUACAAAUACAUCCAUAUAGGAUUGGUUCAAGUAGGUAUAAAGUCCCUAACCAAAGAAGGUCUUAAUACUUCUAUCUUAACUGUCCUUAGAGAUACACAGUUUUAUGAUUUUCAAGACUCUUUGCUUAGCUCUGUUUAGUGUAGUCUCUGCACUGGUCCUAUUUCUUUUGAGUGUUAUCCAAAUUUACUAUAUCUUUGAAUGAUAAGAACUUGUUGGAUAGUCUUGUUUUGCAAAUUAAAACUCAUAACUACAAAAUGUUUCCUGGAUCAAUUCCCGUUGCUCUAAUUUUUAAACUUCAUUACAAAGCCAUAAUGACAUCUUUUACUUUUAAAGCUCUUAUUCACAGUCAGAAAGGAGA